rnacentral:rRNA from 1 species
AUUGAACGCUGGCGGCAGGCUUAACACAUGCAAGUCGAGCGGAGAUGAGGUGCUUGCACCUUAUCUUAGCGGCGGACGGGUGAGUAAUGCUUAGGAAUCUGCCUAUUAGUGGGGGACAACAUUCCGAAAGGAAUGCUAAUACCGCAUACGUCCUACGGGAGAAAGCAGGGGAUCUUCGGACCUUGCGCUAAUAGAUGAGCCUAAGUCGGAUUAGCUAGUUGGUGGGGUAAAGGCCUACCAAGGCGACGAUCUGUAGCGGGUCUGAGAGGAUGAUCCGCCAAAAUGGGACUGAGACACGGCCCAGACUCCUACGGGAGGCAGCAGUGGGGAAUAUUGGACAAUGGGGGGAACCCUGAUCUAGCCAUGCCGCGUGUGUGAAGAAGGCCUUAUGGUUGUAAAGCACUUUAAGCGAGGAGGAGGCUACUGAGACUAAUACUCUUGGAUAGUGGACGUUACUCGCAGAAUAAGCACCGGCUAACUCUGUGCCAGCCGCCGCCGUAAAAC